GGUGGUGUGCUUGAUGGGCUGUCCACCAUGAAAGGAGGAAAGCGUACAGUCCAGGAAGGUACAAGCAGCCAGCCAUCUACGGAGAAAUCUGAGUCAAAGUAUCUUGCUACAGUCCUCCAGAGAUUCUUAUUUUGCCCCUCUUUGAAGGCCAGGGAAACGGCUUCUUUUAAGGUGCGUUCCCAUCUGCUUCAAAAACUCUGCUAUGGUUUGCUAGUUCUCUGUGUUAAUCGAAUCUGAAGUCUAAGAGUUCCAGGACAAAGGUAAGUGGUAGAUAUGCCAUUAUGUAAGGUUGGGUCAGAACUUGAGUGAUCUACCUCCCUUAUUAUAAAACAAAGACAAAAAUCACAAACAUCCCUCGCUGUAUAGUAGAAAAUAGAUAUUUCAAUCUUUAUCAAAUUUGACACCAAUAAAUUGUUUUACAUGGUUCCAGUAUUACAUGUUAGACACAAUUUUGACUUGUAAUUGUCAUACUCACUACUAUAUAAAAGGAAGAAUAUUUUGUGGAGAUGAUGUAGAGUUUAAAGUUUUCCACUUCUUUGAGUAGCUUUAUUAAAAGAAGAUCUCUGAACUUAGAACAAGUAACAUACCUUUUUUUUCUGUGGUCCAGCUGUAACUAUAAUUUCUCUUCACUGUUAUUGCAGGUAUGUCUCCAGUAAUCAAGAGACAAUUAAGAGUGGUUGGGGCCAGGUGUGCACCUUUCGCUAUACAGAAGCAGCAGCAGCAGCAGCCAUACUCAACCAGAUCUUGGUAUUUCAUCAGAUGCAUUCCUCCUGAGAAAAUAAGAGGUGGUUUGAAGGUUUGCUCAUUGACUUUCAGGUCAUGGGGACUUCCCUUCACAGUCUCCAGCUGAACCUUCCUAGUCCCUGACAGCUCUGAUAAAGUGUGUGAGUGGGGGGCGAGGGGGGGGAGGAGGUGUCACUGUUAUGCAGGCUAAAUGUGUAAAAGACCUUGAUUUUAUUUCAAAGUUACACUAAAUGAGAAAGGAUUUAUCACCAGCUUUGAAGGUGGUGGUAUAAAAGGAUCCCGAACUCCCAUGAACACACCAGAUCUACAGUUGCUUAUGGAAAAACUUUCUCUGAAAACUGGCUGAGUGAAUACUACACAUUGGAUGAACAAGAAAAGGCCCACAUGGAAACAGGUGACCAUAUAUAGUACCAUAUUUACAGACACUUCCACAAGACAGAGCACCAUAGCACAAAAGCAUAUUGUCCUGAACGCACCAUAUGGCUCGAAAUGCCUCUGUUUACGUAUAAGUGGUGAAAAUAAAUCAGAGUGAUAUCUAGACCGAGCUACUCUUUGAUAUAUGAAGAAUCUGCACAGCAACCUGUUUAUAGUAUGAUGGAGCCUAUGGUGCCAGAUAAGAAAAAUGCAUUUUGCAGGGUCUGGCUUUUUGGACUUUGUCAUUUUCCUCCCAUGGCUAGAGUGAGCAACUUGUAACUUGCCAGGAAGGAAAUUGACAGAACUUUCAUAAAACCAAAGACUGACAGAAACAAAGUAAAUAAUGAUGAAACUGAGCAAUAGAUCAUCCAGAAGGAGUGUCCCCUGCCAAAACGAAUUAGCAUUUCACCCUGAGAAACAAAUGGACACUCUGUCUCCACAGAAGGCCGGGCCCACGUGUCAGCAU